AGUGAACGCUGGCGGUAGGCCUAACACAUGCAAGUCGAACGGCAGCACAGUAAGAGCUUGCUCUUACGGGUGGCGAGUGGCGGACGGGUGAGGAAUACAUCGGAAUCUACUUUUUCGUGGGGGAUAACGUAGGGAAACUUACGCUAAUACCGCAUACGACCUACGGGUGAAAGCAGGGGAUCUUCGGACCUUGCGCGAUUGAAUGAGCCGAUGUCGGAUUAGCUAGUUGGCGGGGUAAAGGCCCACCAAGGCGACGAUCCGUAGCUGGUCUGAGAGGAUGAUCAGCGACACUGGAACUGAGACACGGUCCAGACUCCUACGGGAGGCCGCAGUGGGGAAUAUUGGACAAUGGGCGCAAGCCUGAUCCAGCCAUACCGCGUGGGUGGAGAAGGCCUUCGGGUUGUAAAGCCCUUUUGUUGGGAAAGAAAAGCAGCAGGUUAAUACCACGCUGUUCUGACGGUACCCAAAGAAUAAGCACCGGCUAACUUCGUG
rnacentral:rRNA from 1 species